rnacentral:rRNA from 1 species
UUAUUUGAUUUUCUUCGGAACUGAAGAUUUGGUGAUUGAGUGGCGGACGGGUGAGUAACGCGUGGGUAACCUACCCUGUACAGGGGGAUAACAGUCAGAAAUGACUGCUAAUACCGCAUAAGACCACAGCACCGCAUGGUGCAGGGGUAAAAACUCCGGUGGUACAGGAUGGACCCGCGUCUGAUUAGCUGGUUGGUGAGGUAACGGCUCACCAAGGCGACGAUCAGUAGCCGGCUUGAGAGAGUGAACGGCCACAUUGGGACUGAGACACGGCCCAAACUCCUACGGGAGGCAGCAGUGGGGAAUAUUGCACAAUGGGGGAAACCCUGAUGCAGCGACGCCGCGUGAGUGAAGAAGUAUCUCGGUAUGUAAAGCUCUAUCAGCAGGGAAGAAAAUGACGGUACCUGACUAAGAAGCCCCGGCUAACUACGUGCCAGCAGCCGCGGUAAUACGUAGGGGGCAAGCGUUAUCCGGAAUUACUGGGUGUAAAGGGUGCGUAGGUGGUAUGGCAAGUCAGAAGUGAAACCCAGGGCUUAACUCUGGGACUGCUUUUGAAACUGUCAGACUGGAGUGCAGGAGAGGUAAGCGGAAUUCCUAGUGUAGCGGUGAAAUGCGUAGAUAUUAGGAGGAACAUCAGUGGCGAAG